rnacentral:pre_miRNA from 1 species
UUGGUUGUUGAUAGGAGAUAGUGUUGUUUGUUGAUAGGAGAUAGUGUUGUCUCCUAUCAACAACCACAACACUAUCUCCUAUCAACAAACACA